rnacentral:rRNA from 1 species
UACAGAGGGUGCAAGCGUUGCUCGGAAUUAUUGGGCGUAAAGGGUAGGUAGGUGGUCUCAUUUGUCAGGGGUGAAAGCCUUGGGCUUAACUCAAGAAGUGCCCCUGAAACGGUGAGACUAGAGUGCUGGAGAGGGUCGUGGAAUUCCCGGUGUAGCGGUGAAAUGCGUAGAGAUCCGGAGGAACACCAGCGGCGAAGGCGGCAGCCUGGACUGGUCCUGACACUCAGGAGCGAAAGCGUGGGGAGCGAUCCGG